rnacentral:sRNA from 1 species
GCCGGGCGUGGUGGCGCACGCCUGUAAUCCCAGCUACUUGAGAGGCUGAGGCAGGAGGAUCUCUUGAACCCAGGAAACAGAGGUUGCAGUGAGCUGAGAGCAUGCCACUGGACUUCAGCCUGGGCGAUAGAGUGAGACACUGUCUCAG